GUGUUCGCGCUCAUAAUUAGUAAUCAAAGCUGAACUAAAUUUCUAAGGUCAUUUGUGGAAAGAGGAUUGUAUUCAACUUGAUGCACUUUAAGAAACUUAGUGGUCCUGCUGCUGGAAGCGCGUGUAACAUUUUGUUUAAUGUAGAUUUGCUUGUAUUUAGUUGCUAUAAAUAAGUAAUGUUGUAUUGCAUUCUGUUUCAAUGAAAUGAGAAUUGAUACUUCUCCGA
rnacentral:lncRNA from 1 species